rnacentral:rRNA from 1 species
AGGAUCAUUAGUGAAUUGAAUAUGUUAGCGGACCUCUUCGGAGUCCCUAGCAUCAAAUCAUAUCCAUAACACCUGUGAACUGUAAGGCUGUCUUGAAAACGAAAGUGAUUAGAGCGCCUGCCCAUUUUAUACAAACAUUAAAGUAACAAACGUAGUCUUAUUAUAAUCUAAUAAAACUUUCAACAACGGAUCUCUUGGCUCUCGCAUCGAUGAAGAACGCAGCGAAAUGCGAUAAGUAAUGUGAAUUGCAGAAUUCAGUGAAUCAUCGAAUCUUUGAACGCACCUUGCGCUCUUUGGUAUUCCGAAGAGCAUGCCUGUUUGAGUGUCAUGAAAAUAUCAACCUUGACUUGGGUUUAGUGCUCUUGUCUUGGCUUGGAUUUGGCUGUUUGCCGCUCGAAAGAGUCGGCUCAGCUUAAAAGUAUUAGCUGGAUCUGUCUUUGAGACUUGGUUUGACUUGGCGUAAUAAGUUAUUUCGCUGAGGACAAUCUUCGGAUUGGCCGAGUUUCUGGGACGUUUGUCCGCUUUCUAAUACAAGUUCUAGCUUGCUAGACAUGACUUUUUUAUUAUCUGGCCUCAAAUCAGGUAG